rnacentral:sRNA from 1 species
UUGUGUCUGUUUUCACAUUUGCUUUAAGUUCCAUUCUUCCCGUUCCUCUAGAGGAACCAGGAACUAAAGCAGAACAAGUUGAACUGGCUCUUGAAAAUUGAGAAUGGACAAAGAGCUAUCUAUAUAGGAAAACAGUGUGUUGGUUGGCUGGUGGAUGGGUGUUUGUUUUUAAGACACUAGCUCUCCGGCAGAAAGCUGGGGAUAGACUUCAGGGAUCUACCCUGACUACCCGUGCCAACCUUUGGCCCCUUGGGCCUUUCUUUUUCGCAUCCUCCAAAGAAAGGUCCAUGUCUGCCUUUCUUUGUGCCCAGGGACUCAGGAGGGAGGGUGAAGAGUUUGAAGAGAUGGGCUGUGGCAGGUUUUGGACAGCAGAGCCCGUGAGGCAUAUAUUUCUUUCCCUUUCACAGUUUCUCUACAAUAAUUGGAGUUGGUGUUGGAGCUGGAGCCUACAUCCUGGCGAGAUAUGCUCUUAACCACCCGGACACUGUUGAAGGUCUUGUCCUCAUCAACAUCGAUCCCAAUGCCAAGGGUUGGAUGGAUUGGGCAGCCCACAAGGUUUGGAGGGGCGUGUGUGCUGAGACCUAGGGUUGGGGAUCCCCUCGU